rnacentral:piRNA from 1 species
UCUAAACCUGAGAAGCUGGAUGUGUUAAGU